CGCUAGCUACAGGCUUAACACAUGCAAGUCGAGGGGCAUCAGGAAGAAAGCUUGCUUUCUUUGCUGGCGACCGGCGCACGGGUGAGUAACACGUAUCCAACCUGCCCUUUACUCGGGGAUAGCCUUUCGAAAGAAAGAUUAAUACCCGAUAGUAUAAUGAUUCCGCAUGGUUUCAUUAUUAAAGGAUUCCGGUAAAGGAUGGGGAUGCGUUCCAUUAGGUUGUUGGUGAGGUAACGGCCCACCAAGCCUUCGAUGGAUAGGGGUUCUGAGAGGAAGGUCCCCCACAUUGGAACUGAGACACGGUCCAAACUCCUACGGGAGGCAGCAGUGAGGAAUAUUGGUCAAUGGGCGCUAGCCUGAACCAGCCAAGUAGCGUGAAGGAUGAAGGCUCUAUGGGUCGUAAACUUCUUUUAUAUAAGAAUAAAGUGCAGUAUGUAUACUGUUUUGUAUGUAUUAUAUGAAUAAGGAUCGGCUAACUCCGUGCCAGCAGCCGCGGUAAUACGGAGGAUCCGAGCGUUAUCCGGAUUUAUUGGGUUUAAAGGGAGCGUAGGUGGACUGGUAAGUCAGUUGUGAAAGUUUGCGGCUCAACCGUAAAAUUGCAGUUGAUACUGUCAGUCUUGAGUACAGUAGAGGUGGGCGGAAUUCGUGGUGUAGCGGUGAAAUGCUUAGAUAUCACGAAGAACCCCGAUUGCGAAGGCAGCUCACUGGACUGCAACUGACACUGAUGCUCGAAAGUGUGGGUAUCAAACAGGAUUAGAUACCCUGGUAGUCCACACAGUAAACGAUGAAUACUCGCUGUUUGCGAUAUACAGUAAGCGGCCAAGCGAAAGCAUUAAGUAUUCCACCUGGGGAGUACGCCGGCAACGGUGAAACUCAAAGGAAUUGACGGGGGCCCGCACAAGCGGAGGAACAUGUGGUUUAAUUCGAUGAUACGCGAGGAACCUUACCCGGGCUUAAAUUGCAGUGGAAUGAUGUGGAAACAUGUCAGUGAGCAAUCACCGCUGUGAAGGUGCUGCAUGGUUGUCGUCAGCUCGUGCCGUGAGGUGUCAGCUUAAGUGCCAUAACGAGCGCAACCCUUAUCUUUAGUUACUAACAGGUUAUGCUGAGGACUCUAGAGAGACUGCCGUCGUAAGAUGUGAGGAAGGUGGGGAUGACGUCAAAUCAGCACGGCCCUUACGUCCGGGGCUACACACGUGUUACAAUGGGGGGUACAGAAGGCAGCUAGCGGGUGACCGUAUGCUAAUCCCAAAAGCCUCUCUCAGUUCGGAUCGAAGUCUGCAACCCGACUUCGUGAAGCUGGAUUCGCUAGUAAUCGCGCAUCAGCCACGGCGCGGUGAAUACGUUCCCGGGCCUUGUACACACCGCCCGUCAAGCCAUGGGAGCCGGGGGUACCUGAAGUACGUAACCGCAAGGAUCGUCCUAGGGUAAAACUGGUGACUGGGGCUAAGU
rnacentral:rRNA from 1 species